rnacentral:rRNA from 1 species
GUGCCAGCAGCCGCGGUAAUACGGAGGGUGCAAGCGUUAUCCGGAUUCACUGGGUUUAAAGGGUGCGUAGGUGGAUUAGUAAGUCAGUGGUGAAAGCCCCGAGCUCAACUUGGGAAUUGCCAUUGAUACUGCUAGUCUUGAGUUCGGUUGAGGUAGGCGGAAUAAGUCAUGUAGCGGUGAAAUGCUUAGAUAUGACUUAGAACACCGAUUGCGAAGGCAGCUUACCAAGCCGACACUGACACUGAGGCACGAAAGCGUGGGGAUCAAACAGGAUUAGAUACCCGAGUAGUCC